AAAAAAAAAAAAAAAGGAAUAAACAAAGAAGAAAUCGAGGGGCAACCAGCUGUGGCAUGUAAACUGGAAGACUGGAUCUGCGUCAACGAUGAGUAAGGGUACAGAAAAGUAAGCCAAAAAGAUCCGGCACAAAUAGGUGAGUCAUAAGCUAUCUAAGAAAUGAAGAGAUGAAAGAGGAGAAGAGAUAAGGCGAAAUGGGUUUGUUGUCAGUGAGGAAAAGAUGGAAUUUGAGCAUAAAGAAAGGAGACAAAGAGAUAAGGAGGCAAAAAUGGGUGUGUUAUUG
rnacentral:misc_RNA from 1 species